GAUGAACGCUGGCGGCGUGCUUAACACAUGCAAGUCGAGCGAGGGUUUGCUCAGUAUUGAGUAUUCUAAAACUAGAAUGUUCAAUUCUGAGCAAAACCAAGCGGCGGACGGGUGAGUAACGCGUGGGUAACCUGCCCUAUACACAUGGAUAACAUACUGAAAGGUUUACUAAUACAUGAUAAUAUAUAUUUGCGGCAUCGCAGAUAUAUCAAAGUGUUAGCGGUAUAGGAUGGACCCGCGUCUGAUUAGCUAGUUGGUGAGAUAACUGCCCACCAAGGCGACGAUCAGUAGCCGACCUGAGAGGGUGAUCGGCCACAUUGGAACUGAGACACGGUCCAAACUCCUACGGGAGGCAGCAGUGGGGAAUAUUGCACAAUGGGCGAAAGCCUGAUGCAGCAACGCCGCGUGAACGAUGAAGGUCUUCGGAUCGUAAAGUUCUGUUGCAGGGGAAGAUAAUGACGGUACCCUGUGAGGAAGCCCGGCUAA
rnacentral:rRNA from 1 species